rnacentral:lncRNA from 1 species
GCUUAUCACAAUUCCCCUUAGUAACGGGUUUCCUGGUUGAAUGUUCUGUUGUAGAAGAAUGCAACUGAGUUUUCUAAACAGAUCUUCUUCUUGACAUCCUUGCUGAACGAGAGCAAAGGAGACAGCUGGGAGCAGAUGGGCAAAUCCCAGUUUGCCCAAAGAAAUGUCUAUUUUCCAAGGGGCAUGAAGAAUUUAGGAAUAAAGCAGAUCUGAUUUCUAAUUCUGACUUUGCUACUGGCAAAUUGUGUGGACUCAGGAAAGUGACCGGCCCUCUUUAAGACUCAGUGUGCUUACCUCUGAAAUGGAGCUGUCAAUCACAUCUGCCUCACAGGCUUGUUCUGAGGAUGAAGUGAGAAAAUGCCCACGAGGUGCUGGUUGCAGCAGCUGGUGCAUAGAGCUUAAAAAGGAUGCAGUCCCAAAACAUAGAAGGAUUUACUCCAGAUCCAAGCAAUGAGUCAGGAACAGAAAGCCUGAUGCCCUCACCUGGAACUCUCCCUCCUCCCUGGAUGAGGACCUUCCCCAGAAUUGCAGGGCACCCACACAAGACCAAGCAAGUUCAGAGAAAAUUGAAACCUGACUUUAGAGCCUCUGGGAUGUUCACUACACCUCAUUGAACCUGUUUGGUUCACAGAGCUCCAACUACCGUCUACUUCCUGCAACUGGCCUGCUGCCAACUCCCCAGAUCUCUUGUGGAGCUGCCGGAAGAGACAGCCUGCCACAGAAGAAAGCAGCCCUCCUCUUUCAUGGCCUCCCACAUCUUGAAACAAACACAAGCAAACAAAACAAAAGCUUGAGUCCCAGCCUGAUUCACCAGGUUUGGUUCCCAAUUGUUGAAAUUCCCUUCCCAGGGCUCUCAGAACCAGGGUUGGCUGGAGGGGUGAAAGAGGCUGGCCCUGAGCCCAGUAAUAGGACACCAAGGGGGAGCUAAAAGCUGGGAUCUGGGGUGAAGAUGGGGUCUUCCAAGCUGGGAGGCAGACACCAGGCCAGAGCAACCGGCCUGCCCCAGCUCAGGCCUCUUAACCCAUGCAGGGCAAGAGUAUAAACAGAGGCCACGGACCACAUGCCUCAGUAUUUAAACUUAUAAAUCAAGCUAACAUAACAUGAAAUCAAAUAUGUUCUAUCCUCCUAGCUUGACAAAUACUUUCAUAACGAGAUGGAAUGCCAGGUUCAGAUUUAGAAUUUUCACACUCCUUAAAGUUCCAAGUCAAAAUACAGCAUUAGGGGAGGGCCCCCAACCUCGAGGUCUCCCCUCCCCCAUUUUCUUUCACUCCCAGCUCUGUCUCACACCACGAGGGAUCUUGGGUGAAUGCCCCUCGAUACCCCAGCCCCCCACAAACAGCUGCCCUUUCCCCCCUUGGCCAAGGGUAAGCACAGCAGCAGGGCAGUCUGCCCUUGGCUGGAGAGAUGGAAGGAGAGGCCACACGGGCCCUGAAAAUGCAUUUGGGGACUCUUGGGCAGGAAACUUGGGAGUUUCUGGAGCCUCAAGGAGGGUCUAGUGGGACAGAGCCACUUGGGCCCAUGAGAUCCUUGACCCAUGGAGAAGGGUAGGGCUAGAGGAGGGCCAGGGCAGGCCCUAUGAACAGAAGAACCUAGAGUAACUGCCCUGUCCCCAGAUCCUGUCACCGAGCAGGUAUACUUGGGAGGGUAUUGGAGGGUGGAACCCAAGGGAGCUUGCCCAAGGCACUAGGAAAGAAAAGUGUAAACCUUGUUAGAGAAUGCUAAGGAUAGCUGUUAAAGCCUCAGAGAUUUUACUCAUUUUUGGCUGUUUCUAAAAAUCUUCCCCCAAAGGAAGAUCUUGCUCUCAUUGAGGAUCUGAGAAAGAAUUCUCUCCAAGUAGUUUCAAAACAUUCUGAUGUAAAAACUCUGGUGUGUUAGUCAAAAAUAAAUUUUGUUGCUUGAUGGCUUCACCAUUCACAAAAUAUUCUAUCCAUCCAAUUUAAAAAUAAGAGCAGGGUAUUUAAAACUCUUUCAAUAAACACAAAUUAAAACAAUGAAGCUUG